rnacentral:lncRNA from 1 species
UUUUGUAAGGUUUUGAGUUGAAGCUAGUUGUUGGAAACCAAAGAGAAGGUGUAAAGGAAAGAAGGAGAAGAUGCAUCCACAUAUAAUAUUAUAAGAUAUAACCUUGUACCUGAAAUUUUGCAUGGUGGUGUCGUGCUUGGUCAUUGUUGAUUGACGUAUGAGGACGAAGAAGGGCUCAAGGAGGCAAGCCACAGAAAGGAACCCGCCAAAGAAGACGACGAAAAUCGUUAUCCACCGUCAUGACCACCAGCUCCCUCCCUCUCCCUUAGCCUUCCACGUGUCAUCCGAAACUUCCCUUCCCCGCAGAUCAGAUAGCCCCAUCUCUUUCUCUUUCUCUGGC